UCCAGCAUGGUGUAGUGGUUAGAGCGUUAGACUAUGACUCUGGAGAUCAGGGUGUAAAUCCCUGCUUGGC